UGCAAACUUGAGAACUUAGAACAAUGAACCAAAAUGAAGACGCAAAUGUGUUUGACUCCUGUAGCUAGUCUGCAAUGUGCUCUACAAUUGGUUAAAGAGGCUGGGAGCUCAAAGUCAUCAGAUCAGUCAAAUGGAAAGACAUUGCAAGAAUCAUAGAAAACAGCAGCUACAUAUCUGUUAUUAAAUUCACAAACAUAAUAAUGAGAAACAUGGAUUGAUUCCCAUAAGUACUGAAGUUCCACAAUUCAGGGCAAGGAGGUGAAAAUGGACAUCUGGGACCUUGUUGCUGACUUUGUCACUUUUUGGAAACUAGGACAGGUUGCCAAGAGAAUCAAAACAUGUCAGUUUAUCUCUCAAUAGAAUUUUAUUACAGAUACCAAAUUGUGUUAAUUAUAUGUUAAAGUGUUGUCUUGCAGGUUA